rnacentral:rRNA from 1 species
GCUGAAACUCAAAGGAAUUGACGGGGGCCCGCACAAGCGGUGGAGCAUGUGGUUUAAUUCGAAGCAACGCGAAGAACCUUACCAGGUCUUGACAUCCUCUGAAAACCCUAGAGAUAGGGCUUCUCCUUCGGGAGCAGAGUGACAGGUGGUGCAUGGUUGUCGUCAGCUCGUGUCGUGAGAUGUUGGGUUAAGUCCCGCAACGAGCGCAACCCUUGAUCUUAGUUGCCAUCAUUAAGUUGGGCACUCUAAGGUGACUGCCGGUGACAAACCGGAGGAAGGUGGGGAUGACGUCAAAUCAUCAUGCCCCUUAUGACCUGGGCUACACACGUGCUACAAUGGACGGUACAAAGAGCUGCAAGACCGCGAGGUGGAGCUAAUCUCAUAAAACCGUUCUCAGUUCGGAUUGUAGGC